UACGUAGGGUGCAAGCGUUGUUCGGAAUCAUUGGGCGUAAAGCGCGUGUAGGCGGUCCGGUAAGUCCGCUGUGAAAGUCGGGGGCUCAACCCUCGAAUGCCGGUGGAUACUGUCGGGCUAGAGUGCGGAAGAGGCGAGUGGAAUUCCUGGUGUAGCGGUGAAAUGCGCCAGAUAUCAGGAGGAACACCAAUGGCGAAGGCAGCUCGCUGGGACGGUACUGACGCGUGGAGAACCGCGAAAGCGUGGGGAGCAAACAGG
rnacentral:rRNA from 1 species